UAGCCGACCUGAGAGGGUAAUCGGCCACAUUGGGACUGAGACACGGCCCAAACUCCUACGGGAGGCAGCAGUAGGGAAUCUUCCACAAUGGACGAAAGUCUGAUGGAGCAACGCCGCGUGAGUGAAGAAGGGUUUCGGCUCGUAAAACUCUGUUGUUAAAGAAGAACAUAUCUGAGAGUAACUGUUCAGGUAUUGACGGUAUUUAACCAGAAAGCCACGGCUAACUACGUGCCAGCAGCCGCGGUAAUACGUAGGUGGCAAGCGUUGUCCGGAUUUAUUGGGCGUAAAGCGAGCGCAGGCGGUUUUUUAAGUCUGAUGUGAAAGCCUUCGGCUUAACCGAAGAAGUGCAUCGGAAACUGGGAAACUUGAGUGCAGAAGAGGACAGUGGAACUCCAUGUGUAGCGGUGAAAUGCGUAGAUAUAUGGAAGAACACCAGUGGCGAAGGCGGCUGUCUGGUCUGUAACUGACGCUGAGGCUCGAAAGUAUGGGUAGCAAACAGGAUUAGAUACCCUGGUAGUCCAUACCGUAAACGAUGAAUGCUAAGUGUUGGAGGGUUUCCGCCCUUCAGUGCUGCAGCUAACGCAUUAAGCAUUCCGCCUGGGGAGUACGGCCGCAAGGCUGAAACUCAAAGGAAUUGACGGGGGCCCGCACAAGCGGUGGAGCAUGUGGUUUAAUUCGAAGCUACGCGAAGAACCUUACCAGGUCUUGACAUACUACGCUAACCUGAGAGAUCAGGCGUUCCCUUCGGGGACGUGGAUACAGGUGGUGCAUGGUUGUCGUCAGCUCGUGUCGUGAGAUGUUGGGUUAAGUCCCGCAACGAGCGCAACCCUUAUUAUCAGUUGCCAGCAUUAAGUUGGGCACUCUGGUGAGACUGCCGGUGACAAACCGGAGGAAGGUGGGGAUGACGUCAAAUCAUCAUGCCCCUUAUGACCUGGGCUACACACGUGCUACAAUGGAUGGUACAACGAGUUGCGAACUCGCGAGAGCAAGCUAAUCUCUUAAAGCCAUUCUCAGUUCGGAUUGUAGGCUGCAACUCGCCUACAUGAAGUCGGAAUCGCUAGUAAUCGCGGAUCAGCAUGCCGCGGUGAAUACGUUCCCGGGCCUUGUACACACCGCCCGUCACACCAUGAGAGUUUGUAACACCCAAAG
rnacentral:rRNA from 2 species